rnacentral:rRNA from 1 species
UGGGGAAUAUUGCACAACGGAGGGAACUCUGAUGCAGCGACGCCGCGUGAACGAAGAAGGCUUUCGAGUCGUAAAGUUCUUUUUUAUGGGAAGAUAAUGACGGUACCAUAAGAAAAAGCCCCGGCUAACUUCGUGCCAGCAGCCGCGGUAAUACGUAGGGGGCUAGCGUUGUCCGGAAUCACUGGGCGUAAAGGGUUCGCAGGCGGAAAUGCAAGUCAGGUGUAAAAGGCAGUAGCUUAACUACUGUAAGCAUUUGAAACUGCAUAUCUUGAGAAGAGUAGAGGUAAGUGUAAUUUUUAGUGUAGCGGUGAAAUGAGUAGGUAUUAAAAAGAAUACCGGUGACGAAGGCGACUUACUGUGCUCAUUCUAACGCUGAAGAACGAAAGCGUGGGUAGCAAACAGG